UCCUCAACAUUGUUGAGGAUGGAAGUUGAAAUAUGCAAGCCACCUCGAUCCUUGAGCGUGGGUAGUCAUUCCAAUUGCAUCAUACCAAGGAUACUUGGCCAACAAAAUGGAAGAUUGCUGACAAAAAAUUUAUAAUGUUCAACCAGCUCACAUGUGUCCUACUCAUCAUGUUGGGUAAGUCCGAACACCAUGACUCUGCUCUUUCGACUGCUAUCUUCUUUUCUCCUUUAUAUUUGCUUUUGCUUACUUUGUUUGCCUUGUCCUCUUCUUUUUCCCGACAGCUUCCAGAUUCAGGCUUUGCAAAUUCAAUUAAAGCAUCUUCUCUCCCUCAGUCUUUGGCCUGGAAUGCUCAGAAACAUGAGUCCUACUCACCUCUUCCUACAAGCUGUGUCUGAUGACUGAUCUUUCUUCAAGCUGCUGGGCGCCACCCAAUGUCCAAAUACUUAUUUGCUAACAUCUUUCAAGGCUUCGAAACUGCAUCCAUUUAGAAUCUUACUCUUAUCUAAUUUAGAAUAACUCUUUACCUGCUUUGUCCCGCAUGCUAUGUGGUACUUUGCAUUAUAGCCCUUUGAAUUAUUUUAUUUAUUUAUAAAUAAUUCAUGUUAUAUUAAUUAACCA